UACGUAGGGUGCAAGCGUUUGUCCGGAAUUAUUGGGCGUAAAGAGCUCGUAGGCGGUCUGUCGCGUCGGCUGUGAAAACUCGGGGCUCAACCCCGAGCCUGCAGUCGAUACGGGCAGACUAGAGUGCUGUAGGGGAGACUGGAAUUCCUGGUGUAGCGGUGAAAUGCGCAGAUAUCAGGAGGAACACCGGUGGCGAAGGCGGGUCUCUGGGCAGUAACUGACGCUGGAGGAGCGAAAGCAUGGGGGAGCGAACAGG
rnacentral:rRNA from 1 species